GCAAAAAUAAAAAAAUUUUGUGAUUCUUUAAGCAUAAUGUAUUAUAUUUUCAAUAUCUAUGAGUCAGAAUUUGGAACUAUUUUUAACACUCAGAUAAGUUCAAUCUUCAGGAGUGUGAGAGGUGUUCAUGUUUUUGUAGGGAAAAUAAUGAAUCCAAAACCUUUUGUCACUGUCUUUCUUGUCCACUAUCAGGAGUAUUCAGUAUUAGGAGUUAAAAUACAUUAAUGAUCUAUUUAAAAGGACUGAGUCCAAGAGUUUUGUCUGCUAAAGGAGAAUGCCCAUUAAAGGAGGUUCAACUGUGUAUAAAAAAGAUAUUGUUUUUGUGUAUGUAUGUGUGUUUUAUGAUCGUAUUAUAUCAUUUUUUCAAUUCCUUUGCAUUGAUAGUUAUAUGUAUACUAAGAUGUAUAAAAAUAACUAAAAAAAAGUAUGUCUAAAAAAUUAAGAAAGUAAGACUACCAAAUUCCAUGUAAUUCCUUAGAAAACCCAUGAUAAAUAAUACUAUCAUCUAAAUUAUAAAUAUUUAAUGCAUUAUUUAGAGAAAAAUUUUCAGGUGAAAAAUGUUUAUCAUUUGAAGUAAGUCAUUUGUCACCCAAAUGACUUACAUAUAAGGUAUAAAUUCAUAUAUAGCCAACCAGAAAGAAAAUAGAUAUGGGGACAAAGUUGCCUAAUUGAUCAAGAUAUGAGAAAAAAGCAGCUAAUCAAGUAAAGAAUUGACUUCUGUAAUAAAAUUUAAAUUUGGAUCAAAUACAAGCAAAUUUUGUUAAUUCCUUUUUUGUUUUAGUAUGAAAUACAUGUAAAUUUGAAUGCCAUUUUAUUUGCUUAUAAAUUCUAUUCUUUUACAAAAAAGUUUUUAGUAAGCCCAAAAAAAAAUUAACAGUUUCAAAGUAUUAGUAAGUGUAGAACAUAUAAUCUUUCAAAUCUCAAACUAAGAAUGAUUUUUCAGUUUAUUUUAUAAUUAAUAAUGUUCAAUAUAUUUUUUAUGUAGACCAGGCAUUGGCAACUUAUGGUUCAGUAGCCAAAAUUUUUUGCUCCAUUAUCCUCAGAUAAAAUAUGAUAUCCAUCUAGUGCUGUAGUAUCUGGAAAAAAAUGCUAAUUAAUUUUUUGAGUGAGAUAUUUUGAUAAAUAGUAAUUGUAGUAACUAAAACAUAAUGCUAAAACCUAAAUACACUUGUUAUUACUAUUAUCUGUAUACUGUUCUUAUAAAUUUAAUGUAAUAUUCACAUAAUUUUGUAUUAAAUUUGACUAAUAUUGUAAUACUCUGUACUGUACAAGAUCAUUUAAGAAUUGAUUUUAUUAUUAUUAUUUAUAAUAUAUACUAUAAUAGUUCAAUAGAUAAACAUGACCCACCAUUACCUCACAGACUUUGCUUUUGGCCCAUGAGUAGAAAAAGAUUGUCGAUCAUUGUUCUAGACAGAUAUGAUGGAACAUGGAAUUUUAAAUUAUGCAAUAGUUAAUGAAUGACCUAGAAUAAUUUUUUCCACUAGGUUUAUUUCUUUGGAAAUGAUGACUUCAUUUAAUUUAGAAUCUUCAAAAUUAAACUGAAUUAGUAGAAGUUAAUUCACUUGGAAAUAUCAUCUUGAAACAGUCAACUUAUGGACUAUUUCAAAUGAAUCUACACAUCAAAAGUAAGAAGGUUAUGAUUUAGGAAUCAAAUCAAGACAAACUGUAAUUGGAAGAGGAAAAAUUCUUUAUUUCAUUGAUAAAUUUGAUUGCCCUUUUUAGAAAUAUGUAAAUCAAAGUAUGAUUGCCAAAGACAAUCAUACGUUGAUCUAUGUAUUUGGAUAUUUUUGACAAAAUCAAUGAGUGCUAAUUAGCCAAAAUACAUUUU
rnacentral:lncRNA from 1 species